AGACCCUUAGGAAACUAGGGGUGGCUUCCAUCUGGAGAAGUCUGGAGACAGGUGCUGCAUGGCUGUCGUCAGCUCGUGUCGUGAGAUGUUGGUUAAGUCCCGCAACGAGCGCAACCCUUGCCUUUAGUUGCCAGCAGUUCGGCUGGGCACUCUAAAGGGACUGCCGGUGUUAAACCGGAGGAAGGUGGGGAUGACGUCAAGUCCUCAUGGCCUUUAUGACCAGGGCUACACACGUACUACAAUGGCCGAUACAAAGGGCAGCGACACUGCGAGGUGAAGCCAAUCCCGUAAAAAUCGGUCUCAGUCCGGAUUGGAGUCUGCAACUCGACUCCAUGAAGUUGGAAUCGCUAGUAAUCGUGGAUCAGCAUGCCACGGUGAAUACGUUCCCGGGCCUU
rnacentral:rRNA from 1 species